GUUCCCUCUAAGCUGUGCGUGUGUGCGCGCGCACAUAGAUCCUAAACCCCGCGCACCUGGGGAAACACCACAUGCACAAAAAUUUCCAUAGAAGCACAACAAUUUGCACAGAAGAAAUUUUUUGCACACACGGCCUGUCAAAAAUUAGAGGGAACAUUGCCUGGAACCAUUGC